UUAUGAUUAGUUAAUUGAUUUUCAAGAAAAAUAAUGUGUGUCGAAGGGGUUGAGUGCGAGAACGAUGAUUUAGAGUUCAAAGGGGUUAUUAGUGUUUCACUGAGGAAGAGAAGGCAUGACUGGUCGGGCCUGUAGACCUUCGGGUUGGGCUUGAAUCCCAUAAUGGGUUAAGCCAUUAGCAUGGGUUAAAACGUAAAAUGGAUAAACUUUGAAAAUAGAUAGAUAAUUGAAAAU
rnacentral:lncRNA from 1 species